rnacentral:lncRNA from 10 species
CUGGGCCUGACCAGCCGCCCGCUUUCCUCUUCUCUUGCCUCUGCCUGCCCCCUGGUGGACAGCUGGGGUAAAGCAUGGGAGUGCGCCUUUGGGGUCUCAGUGGGGCUGAAAUACGACUCCUCCCCUAGGACAGCCUGCCUUCCCCAGCCUUGUUCUCCGGCAAAGUCAAUUUCCUGGAGAAUCGAGGCUCUGCCUCAGAUGUUCGGAGCCUCCGCAGGAUGAACACCUCCAUUUCAAUUCCAGGGGCUUUGAUCAACCUGUGCCUCCCUUGAUCCCCAACUUGUGGGCACCUUCCCUUGAGCAGUGCCCCCACGAGGUACACCUUUCCCGGGAAACAAAAAUCAUUCCUUCUUUGGGUCCUGCAAGCUGUAAAGAACCAAUACAGCACUGUGCUACUGAACAUGUUGCCACUAUAGAAGCCCCUUGUGUUUUGAAGAGUACAUCUCUAUAGCCAUUCGUUUAUUCAUCAGAAACCAGCUAGAAGCCAGGCCCUGUGCUGGGCGCUGGAGACAUGGAAGAAACUGGGCUGAGGCUCCCGCCUUGAAGAGCUUGUGGCCCAGGGAAGGGACAGUUCAUCUGUCAUUGAUUGCCACGUGACAGUGUCUAUGAUGCUAAAAAGAUGCCAGUGCUGUGCUGCAGGAGCAAAGGCCGUGGAGGAAGAGGCUUUGGCUUUGUUGCGAGUCCUUGCCAGAGCCAGGCAAAGCCAGUCACCGCUUUGUUCAGAUGACUCAGGUAAAUAAAUGAGGCCGCACAGGCUGUCCUGACACCACACACCUCUAGAAUACCCUGGCUGUGCUGGGAGCUAUUGGUGUCAGCUGAGUAUUUUCAUCCCUGUCCAAGUCACAAUGAUCUGACUGUACCAGCCUGUGUGGAUGUUGCUAAGAGGAGGCAGACAGCACCAUGAGCUCCCUUAGAUGACGAUCGGCAUGAUGUUCCUGCUGUGGCAGCGCUCAGCUCUUGCCAAUGCUCUUCUCUGCUUUGCUCACUUUAAGCCUCCCUUAAUUUUUUUGAAGCCCAGUUUCCACAUUGCUGAUUCACAGAUAUGCAAGACUCAGGCAGGAAAAAAAAAAGUGUCUCCUUUUCCAGACUUCUUAGAGGACUUGGAAAGAAAAUGAAAUGACGUUGAACGAAAUCAAAGUAAAUUGAGUGAUCUGAAACGAUUUGAUGUCAGCAAGAAUUCCCCAUACAGCUCACAGCCCUACCCCGAGCACGCCUCCCUCUUGGGUAUGGUGAGUUCAGCUCCAAAUUUAUUCUGACAAGAAAGCACAGGCAAUGGCUUCAGUGGGUCUAAAUCAGCUCUCUGCAGGCCCAAACCUUGCAGAAGCCAUUCCAUGUUUCCUGAGCAGGAAAAGACAAACUCAGACCGACAACCUUGGACUUCAAAAGACUGCACACAAGGGGAGGAAGGACUGAGAGUACCAAGGCGUGAGAAUUCAGAAUGCUGCUAUCUCAUUUAUUUUUACCAUUUAGGAAACGUUUUGAUCUGCAUUCCUUUUCCCUUCCCUGAUUUCAAAAAAUAAAAAUAAAAAUGCUUCGGUUCUGAGGAGUAACUCUCCAGAUGGAAGGGGAAGAUCAGGGGAUGAAUGGGGGAGGGCUGCUUGCGUCCUCUCCCCUGCCACACACACGCUCUCUGUUUCAGCCAGUGUAAAAAUAGCCGCCCAGGUUUAUGUAUUCAUCCCUAAGCUGCAAUGAAGCGCCUGCCUCCCGGCCAGAGUCCGCUGCCUUUUAGUAGCUUAUAACAUCAGGUGACGCCUCCAGCCCUCCCAUUCCCCGCCCCAGCCCGGAUAAACGUCCUCCGUGACCUUAGAAGUUUUCAGUUUAAUCAGCGGUAUCGUUUUUGAGAGGAAAAUCCUCCCAGCUUUGCGGGCUGGCAGGGCUCUGGGGCCCUCCCCUGCCUCCCAGCCCAGGCCGCAGAGCGAGAGCGUUUCCAUCUGUGCUGCGAGCGGGAAGAGCCUCUCUGUGCUCCCCGGCACGUCCAGCGCGCGGGCGGGAACACGCUCUCCUGUGGGGGGCAGCUUUCCCAGGGACCUUGCCUAACGAGGGCCAGGCGGCUCCCCCGUGGGCCCCGAAUGGCUCCUGGCAGGCAGACCCCUAUCCCUGUCGAGAGCACUGAUUUCCCCAGCGUCGGGGGAGGCAGCCGCGCCCUCCUGGAGCGAGGCAAUCCAGCGGUCAGGCGGCGGCGAG